GGGCGGUUAGCUCAGUUGGGAGAGCGCCUGCCUUACAAGCAGGAGGUCACUGGUUCGAGACCAGUACCGCCCA
rnacentral:tRNA from 2 species